CCCAUUUAGUUGAUAAAGCACAUUUUGAAUUCCAUCAACAUCAUCCAAGUACAAAUUCUCAACACCUUUAAUCAAUGCUUUAAUUCCAUGCUCCAAAUGUAUAUUGGUACCAAGUUUGAGCAUCAAUGUGUUUAAGGUUCCAUCCUUAAUGUCAGACCAUUCCCAUACAUCUCCAACAACAAUUUUAUAUCUUUCCAGCUUCUCAAACAUCAAUUGCAAGUCCCUUGGCAACAUCCAAGUCUCGCGAAUUUGUAAUUCUAGAGCAAUCAAGUUUGGUAGUUUUCCAAGCUCAGCAAUGCUAGAAUUUUCAUUUUGAGUUGUCGAAGUCACAUCUUCCCAAUUAAUAGAGGUAUUGCCCAUGUACAACUCCUCUAAUCUAAUCAAGCUUGAUAAGAUAUUGGGUGGGACUACUUCUAUUCCUGAAUUGCUCAAAUCAAGCAUUCUCAAUUGAGUCAAUUUCCCUAUUUCUUUUGGCAACUUGAUCAUUGAAGAUUUACGGAGACAAAGAAUUUUUAAAUUUUGCAGAGCUUCUAUUGCAUCCAUAUUCUCCAAAAUGCAAAAAUUUAAACACAAUGUCUUAAGGUUUGUUAGGAACCGAAAUGAAGUGGGUAAUGAAGACAAGUUCAAGGAGGUUAAAUCUAACACUGUAAGGCUUCCCAUACCCUCAAAAAAAGUAUUGGAGAUUUCUAAAGAACGAUUCACACUCAACAAAUGGAAAAACUUGAUGUUUGGACAAUAAAUCGUUUGAGGAAGCUCGUCAUUUUGAUAAUUAGGUAGAGCAAUCUGUGUGCACCUUUUUAAAAAUUCCUUGGUUGGCCAUUCCUCAUGUGGAUGUUUCCUUAGAAAUACAUGUUUGUCCCUACGUGCUAUGGAGAUAGCAAAAUCAUGAACAAAGUCAUGCAUUUGGAUCACUCCACCUGCUUUAACAUCAUGCAAAAGACAAGUCACCUCCAAAGAUCUUAUUACUGUGUAAAAUUUGUUUCUUGCCUCCUCCACAGUAUUGACAUUCUUUAAUAUUUCCAAACCCAUUGCAACUUUCAGAAAGUACUCUACAUCAUUACCUUGCACUAAUGCAAAAAGCAAGAAGAUAUCCCUUAUUUCAUCACGCUCCAAUGCGUUGUAACUCAAUUCCAAAGCAGAAUAAGUUAAAGCAUCCAUCUCUGUUGGAUCAUUACUUUGUAAUUUUCUUAAUGCAUCUUUCCAAAAUUGGACGUCCCUUUUAUUUCUCAUUGCACGAGCUACUGUCACUAUCCUAAGAGGCAAACCUUCACAUUUUUUGGCAACUUGAGUUGCUACAUCUUUCAAAUUGCUAUCUUUAACCACAUCCCCGGCCAUAAAUUGAAACAAGCUCAAUGCCUCAUUCUCCUCCAUAAGUCCAAGUUUGAAAGUAUAAUCCUUUGGAAUAUCCAUUUGCAGCAACACAUCUUGAUUUCUAGAUGUCAUCAAUAAUUUGCAACCAUUAUGUUCAUUACCAAUUGGGAUUCCUACAUUCUUCAAAUCAAGCUUGGUCCAUAUAUUAUCUAGAAUGACAAGAAUACGUUUCUCCAUCUUGAUUCUUUCUCUUAAGCGUUCUGCUCUUCCAAAAAUUGUCUCCUCGUCGAAUUUUAAACGCAACGAAUCUGCAAUCUCCCCUUGAAUAGUUUUUAAGUCUGGAUUUUUGGAUACAUGUGCUAUAACCAGUUUAUCAAACAAUUUUUGUUGCUUUGCUAUUAUAGCCACUUCUUCCACCAGAGUGGUCUUACCCACCCCACCCAAACCAUAGACCCCAAUGUUGCAUGAAUUAGGGUCUGCUAGAGCUUUCACGAUAUCAUUCUUAAGUAACUCCCUUGUCUUAUAAUUUUCAUUACCUGUUGUUGAGGAAGAGUAGGCCAUUCCAUCUAAGGUGGGACGAUAACCAACUCGAUUAAAAUUCCCUUUUUCUUGAAUUUCCACAACAUCUUUUGCAAUUUUUGUGGCGUUUCUACUUAGUUGAUGACGCAAAAUCAAAUUGGGGAACCCACAUGUUGAGCACCUAACAUUGGCACGACGAGGAUCUUUUUGAAGCUGAUUUGCCCUUUCAAUGACCUGGUUCACUUCCUCCAACCAGUUCAACACAUCUCUUUCAAUUUCUUUGCCAUUUCCUCUUUCUUCUUCAACCAAAUGAAAUAUCCUUUCUCUUAAAGCUUGGACGUCUUUGACAUUAUCCGCUAACAUCUUAAAAUUGCCUUUGUAGAAUAUCAAGUAACGUGCUUGACGCCCAAUAGGAACAAUGGUAUAAUCUACUGCUCUUUCAACAACUGAUGUUAGAAUUUCCAUUGAUUAUCUUUUUUUCUCCUCUUUGUGACUUGAGUCAAUCUGAAAGUGAAAGUAAAGACACUAUUUUUGAAUGAAUGCAAAAGAAACAAGGAAAACAUUUGAAAAUGUGAGAACAUUAACACAUUACUAUCUUUGAUGAAAAUUCGCAAAUAUGAAAAAGAAUGUAUGCUUUGAUUAAAAUUAGGCUUAAUUGCACUUUUGGUCUCUUAUCUUUAUUUUAGGUUUCAAGUUGGUCCCUUAUCUUUUCUGCAGGUUUCAUGUCGGUCCCUCCCGUCAAAAUUUUCACUAUUACCGUUAAAUGUGGACACGUGGCAAACGGAAACCACACUUGGAAAGAUGACAUGUGUGCCACAUCAUCAAUUACAGUGCCACGUUAGCAAAAUGAGAGGGGGACUAAAAAAAAAUGUUGACUUUUAAAAUAGGGGGACCAAAAAGCUGAGUUUAAAAAUAGGGAGACCAAAAGUUCAAAAAUAUCAAACUAGGGGGACCAAAAGUAUAUUUAAGCCUUAAUUAAUUAAUAACUUAAGCUAGAAAGUGUGGUAUGAGGUAUUUUGGUGGCUUGGUUUGAUGUUAGUGAUUCCUCCUAAUUUGUUCAUUCUCUUUGAAUGUUUUAGUGGAGUAAGGAAAGUAAUUUGCCACCUACCACCUCGAAAAUAUUUUUAUUAUAUUUUCUUGAGGUGGUAGAUGUCAUUAAGUCGUGGUCGUGNNNNNNNNNNNNNNNNNNNNNNNNNNNNNNNNNNNNNNGUCGGUCGAAGAUGUCUCAUUGUCUUUUUAAUGAGCAAUUAUGGAUCAUGUGAGUUGUUUAUCCAGUUGAAGUGGUGUCGUAGGUCGGUGUGUGUUAGUUGCUGGUUUGGUUUUGGUGCUCCCUGCAUUUGAGUUUUUUCAAUUUCCUUUGUUUUUAUUUUGUUUUGAUUCGGGUUUGUGGUGUUAGGCAUGAAUGUUGUGGCUUUUUAAUAUAUUUGGCCGGUUANNNNNNNNNNNNNNNNNNNNNNNNNNNNNNNNNNNNNNNNNNNNNNNNNNNNNNNNNNNNNNNNNNNNNNNNNNNNNNNNNNNNNNNNNNNNNNNAAUAACGUGGCCCAAGAAGAUUGAGAAUUCAUAAGAGACCAGCACAACGUAAGAUUAGUGGCUUUGUUUAACUUGGAGAGAGAUAUGAGGUUUAAACCCCCUUGAGUAAAUAUGUCUUAUAUGUUUGCGAUACGUCUGAAUGACAUAUAUGAUACAACACAAAAUACAACUAAAUGACACAGUUACGACAUAAGAUAUAACUAAAUGACAUAAGAUAAUACAUGCAAUAAAAUAAAGUAAUUUCAUUAAUAAAGAUAAGAUAAUUACAAAUGAAUGAACAAUAAACUUUAUUGCUAAUCUUUUUUAAUGUCAUUAUUUUUACUAAUAUUUUUUAAUCUGCUUCGCUAUAAUUUAAAAAAGAAAAAACAUAAUAACACAAAACAAAAAAAAAAUGCACUCUGUUCAUUCAAACCUAAAAAACAAAACUCAUCCACAACAAUUCAACAUCAAAACCAGAAAAACCUCACAUCUAGAACCUUUAUCAAUUCAUUUUACUCGAUAGACAGUAAAAAAUGGCCAAAACAAUCCAUAUGGGUCUCUUACCUGGAUUAUGAAUCAACUGAGAGUGUUGAUGGUGCGUUCAAACAGCAGAAAUUAAAUGAUCUGCAAACCACAACAUAAAAUUUGUCAAAAACAAAGUCUGUUCUUGGGGCACUCUUUAAAUAUUUCAAUUAAAAAAAAAUAUUUAUUUAAAAAAUUAAACAAUUCAAUUCCAAUGUACAAAUAAGCAACGGCGACAACAAGCAUAAUAACACAGUGGAGUGAAGUUGCAACAACAAAUGAAGAAGAAAAGAAGAUACAGAGGAGUAAGAUAGGGACCAUAGAAAAAAUGGGUAGUAGAAAUUCCACAUCCAUACAUAGCAGCAAGACCCAUGUUUUUGAAGCCUUCACUUCUUCUUCUUUUGGUUUUCAUUGCUAUCUAUGAACCUAUAAACCCAAAUUUGAUAUUUUUGUAAAAUCUACUUUUCUCAUAUCUAAUUCAUAUGUGAGAUCAUGUGUUUCUCGUUUUCUCUUGCGGUGAUGGCAUUGGACAUUGGUAGACAAUGGUAUGAGUUUUUUUGACAACAAAAUUGAUGAGUAGAGAAUUAAUUAAGUUAUGAUUUUGGAUUUUUUUUUUCUUAAGUUGUAGUACUUCCUUCGGCUUAUUUAUAAAUGGGUAAAUAGGAUUUAUUUUAUGGGUCAGGUUAACUUGUGCACACAUGUUAAGCUAGCUAAAAAUAGAAAUAUAUUACAUUUAAUGAUACAAAGAAUUUAAUGCUUAGAGAAUUGAAUACAACACAAGUUCAAUAAAUAUUUUCCACAUUUAUCUUCUUAACAUGUGGCACAAGUUAACAUUCUCCUUAUUUUAUCCCCGCAAAAUAUGUCAGUUUUAUUUUACCCCUACAAAAUAUAUUUUUUGGAUUAUCCUCUGUAAUCUAAAGAUUCCAUCAUUUACCAUUCUGGAUGAUCAAGUCGGACUCUGACUGCGUCAAUCUGCUUACAUGACACGCUGAGUCAGUUUUUUUAAUUCACUAAAAGUAAAAGUAAAAAUCGCUAAAAGUAAAAGUCACCUCCCUCCGUUUCUCUACCGCGUCAUAAAAUUUCUCAGAAAGAGAAGUCACUGUCUAUAAUUUUGUUUAUGGGUUUUAUUUAGAUCACCACCACCAUCAUCUAACAACAACCAAGGAAACCCAACAUUCCUCCUUCACUUACGAGUUACGACGACGAAAUUGAAUCAAUCAAAAUUAAUAUUGGUUGAGGAUAAUCAGAAUUGGGCGUUUUUAGUGGUAAACGAACACGAUGAAACGAUGAAAUUGGGCGUUUGGAACUUGGUAGUUUAUUGUUUCAUUUUGAUUCUAAUUUUAUUUCUUUGAUUUUUUUGAGUUGAAAGUGAGAAAGGUGAUGAAGAAUCAUGUGUAGAUGAUGAAAGUUGAAGGAUGUUAAAAAAUACAGAAGCUUGUUGGCAGAUAGAGAUGAGAUGGGUUUGAUGAUGUCGUGGAAGAGGGAAAUAGAGGGAGAUGAGAUGGGUUGUUGUUGAAGAUGAAGAUCAUAGGUCACUAGGUUUGAAGAAGAUGAAAGAUGAUUUGAUGAACUUUAAGUGAAGAGGAUGAAGAUGAAAGAGAGUUUUUGGUUAAAAUAUUUGUUGUUUUAUAAAAAUUAGUUUUUUUUAAAUAAUCAAAUAAUAUAUUUAUCUAUACGUCAAUAAUUAAAUUAAUUAAAAAUGAAUUAAAAUCCACAUAAGUAUGUCAUGUCAUCAAAAAAUUAGGAUUCGAUGUCCAGUUGGCCAUUCAUAGGGGUAAAAGAUGAAAUCUUCAUAUUGCAGGGGUAAUCCAAAAAAAAUAUUUUGUAAGGGUAAAAUAAAACUGACAUAUUUUGCAAGGGGGUAAAACCCUAUUUACCCUUUAUAAAUUAUAAGUAAAAGUAAAUAAUUUUUUUUGACCUUAAAUAUAAGAAAAAGUAACCAAAUUCAACUAUAUUUAAUGUCAUUGUUUCAAAAAUACUCCGUAUUAAUUGUUCUACAAAUAAUUGCAUAGUCCCAACCUAAUGUCAAUUUAAUGUAUUGUAAAGGACAAUUAAGUAAAUAUAACAAUUUUUUAAUAAGUGUGAAACAACAUAAUUUGGCUUAUAAAUAAAGCCGAAAGGAGUAUCUGUUAUUGAAAAAUUACUACAUUUUUUAAGAAUUAAUUGUUUUAAAUUAUUUGUUAUUAAAAAAAUUACAUUUGGUGAUGUGCAAUCUUAAUUUGCCACAUGGCAUGUCACAUCAGUGUUUUUUAUGCCGGUUGGAUAAAAAAAUAGGGUGGAGACCCAAAAUGCAAAGCAAAUCAAUAUAGGGGGCAAGCAUAUUUAAUUUUAAAAUAGGGGAUCAAAAUUGUUGAUCUUGCAAAAUAGGAGACCAAAAAUGCAAAGAAAAUCAAAAUAGGGGGCAAGAAUGUUUAAUUCUUCUUUUGGUUUUCAUCACGUGUUUCUAGUUUCUCUCUUGCGGUGAUGGCAUUGGUAUAUGUGAUUAUGGGGGUAGAUGAUGGUAUGAGUUUGUUGACAACAAAUUUGAUGAGUAGAUUUUGGUUUUUAAGUUAUACUAAGGGUCUGUUUGGUUCAAUCGAAGGGAGAGAAGAUAUUUCAAUUAAAUAUAUGUUUAGGUCAAAAGAGGAGAAUGAAGGGGGUGAGAGAUUUUAAUUAAAUAUAUGUUUGGUUCACAAGGCGAUGUAAGAGAUUUUAAAAGUAAUUUACUUUUUUACCUUUGACAAUUAUAUUUUAAAAACAUUUUAUUCCUUUAUUAUCAUUUUAUUUAUCCAUCUAAUUCAAUAAAAUANNNNNNNNNNNNNNNNNNNNNNNNNNNNNNNNNNNNNNNNNNNAAAAUAAUGAAGUCGAAAAAAAGAACAAAUGAAGUCGAGAAAAAACAAACAAAUGACGUCGUAAAGAAAGUUAGGAAGAAGCAAAAGAAUGAGGUUUAGGACAACGUAGCAGCAGGUAAUAAAAAGAAAUUAUAGUUUAUCAAUAGAGAAAUUAAUAGACAGAUUAUUGUUUAGGACAAUGUAAUCAGAAAUUAACGUUUUUACCCGUACAAAACAACAAAUAGUAAUAAGGACAAUUUUGGAAUUUUUAAAUAAAAUUGAGGAUAAUUUGGUGAAUGUAAUAAAAAUAUAAACAUCUCCCCUCCCCUCCAAAUCCCUUCAAUUUGGGGAAAGCAAAGAGUGGCUCUUGGAGGGAUUUUGCUCCCCAUCCCCCUCCUAAAAAUUGAACCAAACACAAAUACUUAAAUAUACUUAAAGGAUUUAUAUUUUUUUAAGUAAUUUAGGGCCCGUUUAUUUUGCCUUUUUUUAAAAAUGAUUUUUAUAGUGUAUUAUUUUUUUGUUAAUUUUUUUUUUAUAAAAGCUUCAAAUUAAAAACUAUUUAAAUAGCUUAUUUUAAAAUGUUGUUCUAAGUAUUUCAUCAUCUUACUACAAUUUGUUUUUGAAUCAUAAAAUUUCAAAAAACUAUUUUAAUAGUUUUUCAUAAAAAUCAUUUUUUUAGGAUUUUUGUUUUGUUUACAAUGAGCUGAGGAUCGAACUCAUAACCUAUAGCGUACUAUCAAAAUUCCUCACCACUAGUCCAAACCUAGUGGCUUAGGAAUAUGUUUUUUGUUAAGUUAAAAAUUUAACAUAAAUAUUUAAAUUAUUGAAUGUCAUAUCACACUUUUAAGUUAUCAUAAAAAUCAUUUUAAAAAUACUAAGAAGAAAACUUUUUUUUUAAUGCUAAAACAAUAAAAAGAGUGUUCAACCAUGAACACUUAGAUGAGAUAGCGCGAGUCUCUUCUAACUUAACCAAAGUCUUGGGUUCGAUCUCUGCUUUGGGCAUGCAGCAGUGUUAAAACAGUUUGUCACUCAUUUAAAUUCCACAAAGCUUGAGGAAUUAAUAUCUACAGUUACGUGCGGAAGAUAGGUUUACACCAAAAAAAAUUAAAAAAAAAAGUGUUCAUAGUUUGAACUCUGUUUCUUACACAUAUAAUAUAAUAUCCCGAUUAACUUAACUAAAUAAAUCAAUUCAUACCUCCAACCUCUUGUUCAAGAAACUCUCCAUCCAACCUUUGAAAUGAACUGGGCGAGUACAAAUUAAGCUGAAGCCAAUCUCUUCCUUCACUUUUUUUAUUUUUUGAAACAAAUACUUAUUUUCUGGUUUUUUUUUCUUUUUCUAUAUGAAUGGAAAAAUAACAGAAACUCUGUAAAACAAAUUAAUAAAACAGAAAUGGAAAGAGAUUGAAAUGUGAAAGAAAACAAACAAAACUCUUUUAUAUAUAGUUUUGAAGCAAUAAAGCUCUUUUGGUAGCUUCGGAUGGGUUUCAGCAAAGAUUCUUCAAACAAAGUAUCAAACAUUGAGUAAAAAAAAAUCAAAGUACUCCUUAUAAUUUAGAUAAUCACUUCUACAAUCAAAGUAUUAAACAUUGAGUAAAAAAAUAAUCAAAGUAUCAAACAUAAUACAUAAAGUAGAAAAAAAUAGUACUUUUUUAUUAAAACAAAUUAUUCAAAUAGUAAUUAUAAUUUUUUUUAUUCAAAUAGUACUCGGGGGUUUUGUGGGUCAGGUUGGACCAGUUUUGGUCAAGCAUUUACCCGAUCCAAACAAACUUAAUAGUUGGAUAUAAAAUUGUAUUUUUUAUGUUAAACACGAAUCGAUACAAUUUGAUGGUAUAUUUAAGACUUUAAAACAUAAAUUUUUUAAAGUAUAUUAUCAAAAAUAAAAAAUGUAGCAAUUUUUUUUAAAUGGAUUGGGUUCGCAUUUGCAUUGAUUUGGAAUCACAAACCCAUAAACCACUUCUAGUUUGAACGGUUUACAUUGAUUUGAAAUCACAAACCCCCCCGUUAUCCAAAGUAAACCAAUUUUAGUUUGAACGGUUUAGUUGAAUUGAACCUAAACUUACGAUAGUUUCUUUGUAGUUCUUAUAGGAGAAUCUAUAAGAGCUACGUAUGAAUUUAGACUUAAUUUCUUUUCUAGGAUACGGUAGUAAAUGGAAGUCAUAUUUUGGAUGUCGUCUUUUGUUUUUGAAGAAGUUAAAUUAGCCCACCGACCAAAUUGAUAUCAAAGAGAAUCGAACCUGAAAUCUUAAGGGCUCUGUUUGGCAAAAAUAGCUUAUGGCCGAUGACUGAUGGCUGAUGACUGAUGACUUCUAACUGAUAAGCUGAUUGAAGUGUUUGGUAAGUUAGCGGUUCACCUGAUUGAUAAAUGUAAAAUGACAUAAAAGGACAUCUUUAAUUCAAUAAUUUUUUUUUAUCAAAUUAAUAUUAUUUAAGAUACUUAGAAUUUAAUUUUUUAAGUUUAAUUUUUUUUUUACAAUAAAUAUAUCUUUCAAAUAUUUGAAAAUAGAUAAUAAGACAACGUUAAAACAUACUAUAUACAUGUGAUUUUAAAAGAAGCAACGUUAAAACAUGUAUUUACUUAUUUUAUUUUAAAUUCUAAUGAUAAUAAAUUAUAAAGGGUAAAUAUGAAUUUUAGUUAAAAUAAUAAGGGUAAAAGAGGAAGAUAAAAUGAAAAGCUAUAAGCUAUAAGCUCAGAAGCUACUUGAAAUAGCUUCUAAGUUAGUAAAAUAAGUUAUAAACUCUUUCCGAAAAGACUAUUACCAAACAGGUCUUUUAACUUAUAAGCCAUAAGACAAAAGCUAAAAGCUAGCUUUUUUGGCUUGCCAAACAGACCUAAGGAGAGCACAUUACCAAGUCCCAAUAACACUAUACCAACCCAAGUGGGUUUUUGGAUGUCGUCUUGAUUGCAAAUGAAGUCAUUUAUGAGGCAAAGAGAAUAAAAUGGAGAAUUAAUGAGUGUCUUACUACAUUCCUGAAUUACUCUCUUAGACCUUCGACAUUAUCAUAGUCCUACAUUCCAUUUUUAGUUCUUACUACAUUGUACCUCCCAUGAGUGUUGCAGAAUAUUUUGACCAUGCCAUGCUUCUUACACUUGCUAACCAAGGGUUCUGUGUUACUGUGUAUUGGUUUAUGUGGCCAUAGAUGAGUCCAACAGAACACCAAAACUUCAUAUUGGAAUGUUUGUAACAUUGCACCUCUUAUCCUCCUUGAGCCUAACAUUCUUGUCACAGUUCUUGGGUCUGCAGUUUCAUCUACACUCUCAUAUGUAUCCAUUCAGCAACAAUACAGUUCUUGGGUUUUGCUUGAAGGAACUCAAGAACUGGUUCAACUUGAGAUCCUUCAGUCAAUGAAAGCCUUUUGAGUCGUGUGAGAGUCUUCUCACUUAUUCGUCCUUUAUCUUGGAAUAUCUUCUUCAAACAACUUUGUUCUACAACUAGCUAGUGACUCAAGACUGGGCGCAUUUUGAAUAAACCAAUAAGCCUUCUUGAUCCAAGCUGUAGCUGUUGCUCGUUUAUAUGAAGAUAAAUUUCACCCUGUCAAUAAGCCUUUCCAAUUUACAACCUUCGUAUAGUCGUACCAAACCCCUCACACCAAACCACAAAUUCCAGCCCAACCAUCCAUCAAACACAUUAGCCCUGCUGAGAUUCAAUUACGUAGAGAAAAGGGACUUUGUUAUUUUUGCGAUGACAGUUCAGUCCUCAACAUCGUUGUCCUAACAAACACCUUAUGCUCUUACAAUUGGAUGAUUGUGAAGACUCCGACCCUAUUCUUGAAGAUUUCCCUGUUUCCAUUGCACAUACCGAGCCUAUUGUGAAUGACACAAAUCACCAUAUGUCCUUAAAUACUAUGAAUGGGUUCACUUCUGUAUGCACCAUCCGUUUCCAUAGUUUUGUCAAUGGAAAUCCUAUUCAAGUGUUGAUUGAUGGCGGCAACACUGAUAAUUUCUUUUAACCAUGUGUGGCUAAGGUUUUAAACUUCCUAUUGAACCUGUGUCUAAAAUUAAUGUGUUGGUUGGAAAUAGCCAGAAAAUCAUUGCUGAAGGCAAAAUUUCUGACUUGAAAGUGUCUAUUCAAGGUCAUGAAAUAACUGCGCCUGUGUUUUUAUUGCCAUUUUCGGGUGCUGAUUUGAUAUUAGGGUCUUCUUGGUUGGCUACAUUAGCCCCCAUGUGGCUGACUAUGGUGCCUUGAGCCUCAAGUUUUUCUAUAAUGGCAAAUUUGUAACACUUCAGGACCAGCCUGUUGCUUCGCCAGGUCCUGCUCAGUUACACCACUUGUUUCGUUUACAAAACAUUCGUGCCAUUUCUGAGAUAUUCACUAUGCAUUGUUUUCAUCUUGCUUCUGAGGAGUCAUCCACAUUACUCCUUCCUGCUGACAUGAAACCUGAAUUGGCUCAGUUGUUGUUGAGUUAUAGUCAGUCACUUAUUCCAAGCUCGUACUUGCUUACCUCGUCAAAAACAAGUAGUGAUCAACUUGGGGGUGGUCUCAUAGAACAAGUUCAUGUAGUAUCUUUCUCAUAAUUUCCAUAUUUUAAGGAUUAAAAAUAUUGAGAACAAGUGAUAGUGUGAUGUGUGAUACACUAGAUUAUGCUAUAUCUCAAAAUCAAUAUCAUCAUUGACUUCAAAGUUUCCAUGAUCAGCAUAAUAGCCUCAACUUAAUUUAGUCCCUUCACAUUUAUUCAGCUACUAUAGAAAUAAAAGCUCCAUUAAUUACUCAUGUUGAAAGUAGGAAAUAGUUUAUUUUAUUGACCAAAAUCAGUAAAGAGUUAUACCAAUCCUAUGUGUGUGUGUGUGUAUAAAAGCAUAGCAUAAUAUCUGUUAGCCAUGCCAAUACAAUUAUAUAUAUAAACAGCACAAGCAUAGAUUCAUCUCCCUAUAAUCUCUGAUGAUCUGCAUAACAGCCUAGAGUUCAGUCCCUUCACAUUUAGGGCCCGUUUGGAUUAGCUUAUUCUCUGUUCAAGUUCUGCUAUGCUUACUUCAGAUAAAUAGACAUAGCUUUCACCUUGACUCCUAGAUUGGCAGAUUCUGUCGCUUGACAGUCUCUCCCUUCUUUGCUCACAUAAGUUUCAUUUCCAUCUUUAAACUCAUCUUUUGCAACUGGCCUUUUAUGUGGUAAUAUUUGUUUAAAAUCUUCAUAAUAUGCUAACUAAAGAAAAUUGGUUGAACAGUUACUUGCAUUCAUCAUGGACUUAUGCGACCACCACACUUCUACGCUUCCAACACUGGCUUACAUUCUUUAACUGGCUAUAUAUUGUUUUAACUAUUUUAGCCUUACACUUCAUGUGUUUUGGAAUAGCGUUUUGAAGCCGCAAAUAGCAGCUUCGUUCCAAACGAAAACUUAGUUUUUGGUGUCAAAGACUUCUAGGAGAAUCACAUCUACCUAAUGCAUCUCAUAUUGCCAAAUCAAUUAAUCAAUCAAAGUAGGCUUAAAAAUGGUGCCUGUACCUCUAAUACAUGAAGUUCAUCCUUAUAGUUAAAAGCUGCUUUCUCCUCUAGUGUAAAUCAAGAUUUGAACCAUAAAUUAAACCAUGACUAACCUAAGAAAGAGAAGAUUCUAGCUAAAAUAUAUAUUCUUUAAACAGAAGUUUUAAAUAUGUAUUCAUUGUUGGACGGAGAGAUUUUUUUUCUGACAGAAAACCUGUUGUAGCUUUUGCUUUCACCUUGAGUCUCAGAUAAACAGACUCUGUUACUAGACAUUAUUGCUUAUUUUAUGCCAAUUGCAUCUUCAAAAUCAUCCUCCAAACUCUCGGUUGAAACUUCAAAAUCUGCUAAAGAGGCUGAAGAACAAUGGUUGAUUAAAUGCUUAGAUUUCAACACUGGCUCACAAUCCUUAACAAAAAAGGAACAAUGAUCAAUAUUUUCGUCAGCUUCCACACAAUCAUGAGCAGAACUUUCAGCAGGAUAAUCAUAACAAAAAAAUUCGAACUAAGACUGUCAACAAGAUCGGGAGGAAAUCCAGGUGGAACACCAACAUCAAUUUUCACUUCUGUCAGAUUUUCCUACAUGAGCUCUAUAUUUCCUUGAACCUGCACAAUGAUUCGGUGACGAUUUUCUUUGACUUUUAGCCACGACCAUCACUUAAUGACAUUGAUUUUCCACUUUCUUUUCAUUAAGAAGUGUCCUCCACUACCAUAAUAUCAAGGCUUAAUCACUAAAGUAUCAUAAUAUGCAUAAGUGCACUCAAUUCCUUGUAUUCCAAGCUUUUGCUCCUUAAUUACAUAAUAAACAAAAACAAGUAAAUAGUUCUAAUAAACUUAUUUAAAGAUGCUAUUAAGAAGUGUCCUCCACUACCAUAAUAUCAGACAUAUUUUAGUGCUAUCACGUCUUAGGCGACAUUUUUCAGAUAUUGACAUAGCUUGCAAGAUUACAAAACCUCCCCUAAAAUUGUUACCUUGAAAACACUCCGAGGCAACAUUUUUCCGCUGUUGUCAUAUCUAGCAACAAUUACAAAGUGUUUCCUAAAAUUGAAAUAGUAUAAGAACACAUGGUGUGAGUGUAUUUAUAAAACAUUUUUUACCAUAUUUUCAUAUAUUAAGAAUUGAACCAAACAUAAAUUACAUGUACCACAAAAGUUGUGGUAAUAAAGGGCCCGUUGAAGUAGCCAUAAGUUUAAUAUUUAAAAGCAUGAGUACAGCAAAAUGACAAAAUAGUUUCUUCAAGUUGAACGCUUUAAGUACAAGCCUACAACAACAUCAUCCAACUCAUUUAAGUUUGUGGAAAUCCUCCUCCUCCUCAUCACGGUGUCGUCCUACUGAAGUUCAUCACCCACGUUAUCCUCACCACUUGAGUCUUCCUCUUGAAAUUCACAAGUACUUAUGUUGUCGUCCUCUUGAAAUUCAAAAGAACUUAUAUCUGCGUCCUCUUCAUCAUCUCCAUUGAUACCUUAGUGCAUAAGAAAAUAAAAACAAAAUACAAUUAAAAGACAAAAUCAGCCUAAAAUGCCACAAACGCAGAACGUGUAAAAAAUGGUGCUUCUACCAUAUGUUCAAAGAAAUUAAUAAAUUCGAGUUAUAUGCUUUGUGGAAAACAAUGUUGCUACUGAAUGGUUAAAAGCAUGAAUGGACAAAUAAAUUACAUCUCUUUAGAAAACAAGUACAGGGGUGUUCAAGAUGAGUGUGCUACAACAAUCAGAUAAAACAAGGGCAGUAGCAAAUUAGUGAGAAACAAAAGUUUCUAUCACAACAAAAUCUGGAAUCUAACACUUAAGUACAAUGUGUCAAAACUUUUUCCAAAAAAAAAAGUACAAUGUGUCACAAAAAAACAGAUAAGUACAAAAAUUCGUAAAGAUAAAAAGGUAAAAUGUAUAAAAGAAAAGAACUUCUAGUUGUUUACCUUGGAAAUGUCCUAUGGUGGUCUCAUUUGUAUCAUAAGUAUCAGAACGUUGGAAAUGUCCUAUGGUGGUCUCAUUUGUAUCAGAAGUAUCAGAACGUUGGAAAUUCCUUCCCUGUUAACAAAAUGUUAAAAUUAAUAAACAAAUAUAUAUUUUGUCGUUGAUAAAAUUCAUUUUUUUUUUUAACUAAAAAUUGUAGAGAUUACCUUUAAACAUUUUUUGUGAGGUCCAUAUUAACAACAUGAAAAAACAUCAACUAUCAUGCGUCCAAAAAAAUAAAUAAAACAACACAAAUCAUGAUAUUGUUACAAUAGAAAUUAACUGGGAAUCAUGCAUACCUUAUUUUCAAACAUGCUGGUUAUUGUAUCAUUUAUGUUUCCCUUCCAAAACCAUCCUUCAUCAUUUUUUCUAAUUUUAACUUGUUGAAGAAUUGGUGUACUUAUAUAUCCCUUAGAAAAAACCUUCAUGUUAUCACAAUCUCUCACAAUUACUACCUCCAACAAUGGAAACUUUAAGGAGCACUUUUUAGAGCAAAAUUGGUUGAGGGUAGACAAACGUUUCAACACCAACUUUCGUAAACUAAUUAAUGUAAUGUGAAUGUCUUCCUCUCCAGUAAUUACUUCUUCAAGUGAAGAACAAUCUUCUACCUUCAGUGUUAUGAGCUUGUCCAAACUUUCCAUUGUUCGAGAUGUAAUUAAAUUUUUUAACCCUUUGCAAUCAGUUAUCUUCAAAUAUUCAAGAUGACUAAGUGUGGCAGAGGAAGGAAAUAAACUUAUCAAACUAGAACAGUUGGUAAUGAAUAAGACUUUAAGGACCUCAAGAACUGGGUCAAUUUGGGAUUCUUCCUCACAUAUAUGUUGAAGAUUAGGUAAUUCAAUCAGAUACAGAUUUUUGAGUCGUUUGUGAGUCUUUUCACUUAUCCAUCCUUCAUCUUGGAAUAUCUUCUUAAAGCAACUCUCUUGAACAACUAGUGACUCAAGACUGCGCGCAUUUUGAAGAAACCAAUAAGGAAAUGCAUCUUCAUUAUUAUAACCACACAAAACAAGUUCUGUCAUUUUUGUGAAUAGGCCACUCGAGUUUUGUGCUUGCAAUAUAAUGUUGGCUUCCUUAUUAUCUAUUCUCAACAUCUCCAAAUUUGGAAUCACCUAAAACACAUUUGAAGAGCAAUUGAGAAAAAUUAAACUUCAAAUAUUGACUCAAAUUUGUAUUACAUACAUACAUACAUCAUAUUUACAUGAUAUGCAUACCUCUUCCGCAAUGAAAAGUGGUUGAUGCGCUUGAACAGAAAGUUGGUCAUCUGAAAAAUUGGAGCUUUUUGUAUAUGGAGUUCUAUACAAAUUCAACUUUGCACAGUUGAAAACAUCAAUGCUCUUCAAUGAUGGACAUGCUAGGGUGUGCUUUUUAGCAUAGAAACCCUCAAGGUUAUCCAAGUCCCUUAGGAUUAAAGUAUUCAGUUGAUUAAACUCAAAUAUGGGAGCUACAUUCACACUAGAUUCUUUUUCCUCUGCAACAAUUUCCUUCAUGUUUUCACAUUUGAUUAUACGAAGUUCCUUGAGAUGUGAGCAACGAGUGGCUACGGAAAGUGGUAAUAGAUGCUCCACACUUUCACACAUUUCUAGAUUUAUAUUUAUGAGAUUUUGAAAACUAAGAAUUCCUUGAGGAUCUCUACUCCAUAUCUUUUUCAGCUUCGGCAUUAAAAUUAUAGCAACUUCUUUCAACUGUGUUGUUUCUUCAACACUGCCACUUUCAUUGAAAGUCAAUUCAAAUAUUUCUUCCACUGAAACACAAUAGUGAACCUUCAACAUCUCUAACUUAUUAUAUGUUUUUUGCAUUGAAGAAGGAAAAACUGCCACAAUAUUUUCACAAAAUUCAACUUCCAACCUCUUCACUGUUUCAAAUUGUCGGUGCCAUAUUGUCUUCAAGUUCAAGUUAAACAAUUUGAUUUCCUCUAAUUUCAAAAAAUGAACCUAUGAAUUCAUAAAUAACAAACAUCAUUAUAAAUAAAUAAUUAUUUAAAUACAAGUUUAAUAUGAGUUGGAAUAUUCCCAAUGGUAGAAUUACAAUACCUCUUCUAAUGCAUUGUCCCUCUCUUUAGUUAUUAUCUCCUCCAUCAUAUCACAAUUAUUUAUUUGAAGUUGUUUGAGGUUCUUAAAACUUGCAACAACAGCAGAAGAGAAUAAGUACUUCAAGCCACCACAAUCAUCCACAAUCAAGUUGGUCAAAUUGUACAUAGAAUGAUGAUUGUCAUCCCAAAUUUUAUUCAAAUGGGGGAGUGAGCUCAAUUUAAGGGUAUGCAAAUUAGGAAAUACAACCUACAUAAACGAACCAAUUUAUCUAUUAAUUAAUUUGUUUGUACAUAUCACAAAGCAAUAAAAAAUUAUAUCAUUUGUAUUUACAAAGCUAAGUUAAAACAAAAUAACAUACCUGACGAUUGAAAAAUGGUGAAGAAACAUAAGACUCUGAACCUUGAUAUUUUUGUGUACUUCUGGAAUCCAUUGAAUGAUAAGACAAGAAAUUAUCAAGUGUCUUCAAAUAUUCUAAAGUCAAAGAACGUAAUUGAAGAAACUCAAUCUUUUCAUUAGUUAUAUCAUUAUUUGCACUUAAUUUGUUGUCUCCGAGCACUAUCUCCUUCACAGAAUUGCACUCAUAAAGAUCAAUCUCAGAAAGGCAAGAAAGUCCUUUAAUCAUAUCGAAGGACAAAAUAUAUUUUAACUGGAUGCAAUUUUUGACUUUGAUAACACUGAGACUUCUAAAAGAAGUUAUUGAAACUGGACCAUGACAUAUACACUCCAAGUUUUUAAGAUUGUGAAGUACCAAUGUUUCCAAGAUGGGAAAUGACACAUGGAUUUGAGUUCUCUCUUUAGAGUCAACAAUGUGCUUCAUGUUUGCAUUAUUUUGGAUAUGGAGAUGUUUCAACAAUGGAAAUCCAUCCCCAUUUAGUUGAUAAAGCACAUUUUGAAUUCCAUCAACAUCAUCCAAGUACAAAUUCUCAACACCUUUAACCAAUGCUUUAAUUCCGUGCUCCAGAUGUAUAUUGGCGCCAAGUUUGAGCUUCAAUGUUUUUAAGGAUCCAUCCUUAAUGUCAGACCAUUCCCAUACAUCUCCAACAACUAUUUUAUAUCUUUCCAGCUUCUCAAACAUCAAUUGCAAGUCCCUUGGCAACAUCCAAGUCUCGCGAAUUUGUAAUUCUAGAGCAAUCAAAUUUGGUAGUUU
rnacentral:lncRNA from 1 species